UACAGAGGUCUCAAGCGUUGUUCGGAUUCAUUGGGCGUAAAGGGUGCGUAGGCGGCGCGGUAAGUCGGGUGUGAAAUUUCGGAGCUUAACUCCGAAACUGCAUUCGAUACUGCCGUGCUUGAGGACUGGAGAGGAGACUGGAAUUUACGGUGUAGCGGUGAAAUGCGUAGAUAUCGUAAGGAAGACCAGUGGCGAAGGCGGGUCUCUGGACAGUUCCUGACGCUGAGGCACGAAGGUCAGGGGGAGCAAACGGGG
rnacentral:rRNA from 1 species